AUUGAACGCUGGCGGCAGGCCUAACACAUGCAAGUCGAGCGAGCGGCGGACGGGUGAGUAAUGUAUGGGGACUGCCCGAUAGAGGGGGAUAACUACUGGAAACGGUGGCUAAUACCGCAUACUAUCGGAUAACCCAUAUGGGAUUAGCUAGUAGGUUGGGUAAAGGCUCACCUAGGCGACGAUCUCUAGCUGGUCUGAGAGGAGGAUUAGCCACACUGGGACGGAGCACCGGCCCAGACUCCUACGGAGGAAGCAGUGGGGAAUAUUGCACAAUGGGCGAAAGCCUGAUGCAUCCAUGCCGGGUGUAUGAAGAAGGCCUUAGGGUUGUAAAGUACGUUCAGCGGGGAGGCGUUACCCGCAGAAGAAGCAACGGCUAACUCCGUGCCAGCAGCCGCGGUAAUUC
rnacentral:rRNA from 1 species